UUGAGCUGAAGAACCUGGAA
rnacentral:misc_RNA from 1 species